GGGGGCGUACUUGGUUUCGACGGGGGUACGUUGCAUCGAGGAAGCGAGCCGAGGGAACCUAUGGACCCGCGUAAAAAACUAUAGGGACAAUUUAAACGCAAACGAUAAUUUACAACUAGCAGCUUAGUUCUGCUACGUCUUACCUUUGAUUACCGCGACUUAGGAUAGGGCGCCGACAGCGGUGAACCGAGUCUGGGAAAGCUUUGACCCAGAAACGGAAAAUAUGAAGCUACCGAAACAUAAACCCGGCCAGUAGGGGUUAAGUAGAGGGAAUUUUAAAGUAUUGGCUACGCUCGUAGAUGCCUAGGUGUUAUGGCUUUCGGACAGGGGUUCGACACCCCUCGCCUCCACCA
rnacentral:tmRNA from 2 species